UUUAAAAAUUUAAAUUACGCCAUUACUUUUUUUGUAUUUAUUCCACACAUUGGAUUUUUAUCGCAAGUGAAUGAGUCGGAUAGUAUUUUCGUAAUUUGUUUAUAUUCAUGAGAUCCUAUCGGAAUAUCUUGAAGGCAAGGGCAACCUAUAAGAUAUGGUAGAAAUAAAACUGAAAGUAAAUUGUGCUAUUAAAAUUAACCUGAUAUUUCUUUCUUUGGAAUAAUAAAAUUGCAUAUUAUUAUUUUAUUAUUGCGCAAGACGCGUAUUGAUACAUUUCAAAGAAUCAACUAUUGAUGCAUAUUUUUUGUUUAGCUCAGAUUGACUGAAUAGGUACAUCCCUGUUAUUAGUAAAAUAUGUAUUCCAAGAAAAAUAUCACUUAAAUUUUUAUAAGAUUUAUCCUACAUUAUAUUAAAUUGUUAUUCAUUCACUAUGUGUCAGAUUAUAUUGGUUCUCUAAUGAUAGAAACAUGAGUGGAUGUAGAUAAAACCAUGGAUAAGAUAUGUCAUCAUUAUACCACUUUUUUGCAACACUAGUUAUUAUAUAAAAUAAAAGGUAAAUGGAAAUGUUUAGAAUAAAAAUAAAGAGAAGCUAAAAAAUAAUGGGAAUACAAAAAAGAAGAAGAAAAUAUAUAUUUUUU